UACGUAGGGUGCAAGCGUUAAUCGGAAUUACUGGGCGUAAAGCGUGCGCAGGCGGUGAUGUAAGACAGAUGUGAAAUCCCCGGGCUCAACCUGGGAACUGCAUUUGUGACUGCAUCGCUGGAGUGCGGCAGAGGGGGAUGGAAUUCCGGCGUGGUAAGCAGUGAAAUGCGUAGAUAAUGCGGAGGAACACCGAUGGCGAAGGGCAACUCCCUGGGCCUGC
rnacentral:rRNA from 1 species